AAAUGGAUUUCUCAAUCUUGAGAAGUUCUCUCUGAUGCAGAGAAUAGGGAAUUCUAUGACAAAGGAGGACAGGCAAUUAAAGAGGGUGGGGCUGGUGGCAGUUCUCAUUCCCCCAUGGACAUCUCUGCUAAGUUUUUUUGGGGGAGAAGGAAGGAUACUAAGAGAAAGGAGAGGUAAAAACUCCUACAUCAGCUCUCAGUAGCCUUAGGAGAUCUAUCCAAUGGUGAAAAAAGAAAACUGGCUCUGCAAAAGAAUAUGAUUUGUGACAAAUGUGAAGGCAGAGGUGUUAAGAAGGGAGCAGGAUCCUGCUGUGCCAACUGCUGAGGUGCUUGAAUGCAAACAGUAAUUCAUCAA
rnacentral:lncRNA from 1 species